rnacentral:pre_miRNA from 1 species
GGAAACCUGAAAACUACUAUUGGAUCGAAAAAUGGGCGUCUGAUGUUCAUCCACGUCAUCAUGGUGACAUGGAUGAAUGUCGGACGUUCAUUUUUCGAUCCAACGAAAGUUUCCAAGUUUUC